rnacentral:rRNA from 1 species
UACGGAAUGUGCAAACGUUAUUCGGAAUCACUGGGCUUAAAGAGUCCGUAGGCGGCUUGUUAGGUGAGGUGCGAAAUCCCCCGGCUCAACCGUGGAAUUGCGCUUCAAACCGGCAAGCUUGAGGAGGAUAGAGGUGGGCGGAACUGAUGGUGGAGCGGUGAAAUGCGUUGAUAUCAUCAGGAACACCGGAGGCGAAAGCGGUCCACUGGGUCCUUUCUGACGCUGAGGGACGAAAGCUAGGGGAGCGAACGG